GAUUUACAAUUUACCUGGACGAAAAAAGAUCUAAGUCCGUGCGAACCCGAAAUAGAACAUAACUCUUCCUAGCUGUUGUGAGAAGAAUCAACCUACAUUUGAGAAGUUAGUUAACAUCAUGAGCUCUCAGGGUUCUGCUAAAGACGCACAGCCAACUAAGCCGGAUUCGUCAUAUAGAAAAUGGUUUGUGUUGAUGUCUGGAUUUUUUAUCAUGUUUUUGUGCACUGGAUUUCCCUUCAAUAUGUCUGUCCUUAACCCUGAGCUCCUUCGCACAUUUGAGAAAAGUAAGGCGGAAACAGCUUUGGUACAGUCGAUAACGAUCGGGGUGCUAUAUAUAGCAGGAGCCUUGUGCGGGAGGAUUGUUUCCAAAUAUGGAGCUAGAGUGACAGGGAUAACCGGAAGCAUAGUUACGACGCUCGGUCUGGUUGUCUCUUUCUUUGCCGAAAGUAUUCCUC